UCCCUGGUGGCUCAGAUGGUAAAGCGUCUGCCUGCAAUGCGGGAGACCCAGGUUCGAUCCCUGGGUUGAGAA
rnacentral:tRNA from 1 species